UUAUAAUCUCGGGGUUCUGGUGCCCGCAUGCGCGUCUGCGCGUGCAGUUAAACGGGAAACACGAAGCGGCGUCGCCUCCGGCGGCGUGCCAACGUGUGCUGCCCCCGCAACGGUAAACAAGCGUCGCCGCACGGCGACAGGCCGCCCCGACAGCCACUGUGCUUGCAUAGGAAGGUGGGACGGUCCGUCUUGGAGCCCGGAGACCGGCCAGACAGGGGAAGCCGGC
rnacentral:ncRNA from 2 species